UGGGGAAUAUUGCACAAUGGGGGAAACCCUGAUGCAGCGACGCCGCGUGAAGGAAGAAGUAUUUCGGUAUGUAAACUUCUAUCAGCAGGGAAGAAAAUGACGGUACCUGACUAAGAAGCCCCGGCUAACUACGUGCCAGCAGCCGCGGUAAUACGUAGGGGGCAAGCGUUAUCCGGAUUUACUGGGUGUAAAGGGAGCGUAGGCGGUCUGACAAGUCAGAAGUGAAAGCCCGGGGCUCAACCUCGGGACUGCUUUUGAAACUGCCGGACUAGAUUGCAGGAGAGGUAAGUGGAAUUCCUAGUGUAGCGGUGAAAUGCGUAGAUAUUAGGAGGAACACCAGUGGCGAAGGCGGCUUACUGGACUGUAAAUGACGCUGAGGCUCGAAAGCGUGGGGAGCAAACAGG
rnacentral:rRNA from 1 species